ensembl:lincRNA
AGAACAGUUAUUUGUAGGCUGUGGGUCCUGGAGCAAAGCACCCUCUUUCCUCCUGUGUCCUCCACAGAGCUUCAUUCAGGUGAGAUGGGUUCCUGGCACAUUCCUGUGGAUCCCUUGGGACUGAGCUCAGGUAUUUCCUGUAGGAAGCCUUUGUUAAAACCCAUCCAUGGCAGACCCAGUGAGACACCCUCUUCUCGCCUUGCCUUGGUACUUUGUCCGUUCUGGAUGGCUGCUGUGUUGCACUGUGACCUGUUCAGUCUGUCUCCUUCAGUGAAUCUCCAGGACAUGGAAGCUUGUAUCUUUCUGCUUCCAGUGCUGGGCACAACGCACAUAGUAGGUGCUUAGUAAAUGUGUGGUGAAUGGAUUCACCAAAUCCUUAAAGCGAACACCAGAAUAUUGAGGAAGAAAGAGAAUGGGAAGGACCCAUGCAGCCUUGGAGUGGGAGUGCCGGUGGGAGGACUGGCAGUUCUCAGGGUCUGCGCUCCUGUCUUCCGUCUUCACCUCCCCUCCGUUCCUCCUCUUCCAGCCUCAGCCGUCACUUCUGCAGUGAGAUUGUCCUUGCCAAGCACAGCAGUGGCCUUCUUGUCAAGUAUAGCAGAAACCUUUACCCUUCACCUGACUGGAUUCCUGGACUGCAUUUGGGCAGCCCAAUGGAUCCAAUGGUGAUGAAGAGACCUCAGUUGUAUGGCAUGGGCAGUAACCCUCAUUCUCAGCCUCAGCAGAGCAGUCCGUACCCAGGAGGUUCCUACGGCCCCCCAGGCCCACAGCGAUAUCCAAUUGGCAUCCAGGGUCGGACUCCCGGGGCCAUGGGCGGAAUGCAGUACCCUCAGCAGCAGAUGCCUCCUCAGUAUGGACAGCAAGGUGUGAGUGGUUACUGCCAACAGGGCCAACAGCCAUAUUACAGCCAGCAGCCGCAGCCCCCGCACCUCCCGCCCCAGGCGCAGUAUCUGCCGUCCCAGUCCCAGCAGAGGUACCAGCCGCAGCAGGACAUGUCUCAGGAAGGCUAUGGAACUAGAUCUCAACCUCCUCUGGCCCCCGGAAAACCUAACCAUGAAGACUUGAACUUAAUACAACAAGAAAGACCAUCAAGUUUACCAGAUCUGUCUGGCUCCAUUGAUGACCUCCCCACGGGAACGGAAGCAACUUUGAGCUCAGCAGUCAGUGCAUCCGGGUCCACGAGCAGCCAAGGGGAUCAGAGCAACCCGGCGCAGUCGCCUUUCUCCCCACAUGCGUCGCCUCAUCUCUCCAGCAUCCCGGGGGGCCCAUCUCCCUCUCCUGUUGGCUCUCCUGUAGGAAGCAACCAGUCUCGAUCUGGCCCAAUCUCUCCUGCAAGUAUCCCAGACUUCAACAAGAACCACAACCAGUUUAAUCCACAUGGACCUAAGAAUAGGUGUGUCUUACCCUUGCAACUGUCACAGAGUUUAUGAAGAGGACCCAAGUACUUGCCACUGAACACCUCAUGAUCUCCGUGUAUUGAGGAUAACUGGCCAAUAAAAUUGUCCAAAUGUCCAUGGUUUAACAUGUCUUUUCAUGUUAAUUAUAAAAAGUCAAUCUUCUUGAAUUACUAAUGGAAGAAUAUAAUUUAGGACAUUGCCCUCUAUAUAGUGAGUACUCUUUUUUUUUUUUUUAAACCUCAUUUGGUACAUUCAAGCUAACUGUCUCCAAUUUGCCCGCGAACUUGUAAGACAGAUAAAUGCGUAUUCUAGACAGUGCUCUCUCUUUAGUUCCUUCUUUAUUCACUUUUGCCCAGAGUCAGCUAAUGUAGGAAAAUUGGAAGAUGGAAUGGAUCUGAGGCACUAAAACUGAAAUCAGGUAGUGUCUGUCAUUCAGACUCCAGAUUUGCUAUCUUGACUAAUCAUGUCAAUAUUCCAUGUCAGGUAACUAAAUCCAUCUUAGGUUAGUUGACUUUUUAGCUGUAAUGAUGUGAAAGGAAGGAGUGAUUUUUCUAUGGCCACUACUACUUUUGAAACAUGGAAUUUCUGAAUAUUUCUAUAUCUAUUAGUAUUACUAAUACUGGAAAUAAUGCAGUAUUAUUUGAAAAGGGGUGAGUGGUUUGUUUGCCAGAAUUGGUUGUGGUUCAGAGUUAGUGUUCUUGUGAGUUUCUGUAAUUGUAUACUGUAGUAAUGUGGAAAGGAAUUAUUCCCAGGGAAUGUUCGCCUCAAUAAAGGAUUAAUGUGGGAAUCCUAUUCACCUCAUGUUUAUUCUCUACCAUCCCUACACAAAAGUAAUAGAGUAUAAUUUAUGCAGUGCAUCUGAUCAGUAGUUGAUCUGAUCUGUUGGUUUGUUUCUGAUCCGAAAGAGAUGGAAAAAUAAAACUACAAGUAAUCAUUUAUCUAAACAUUUACCUGCUAAAUGUACUUACCAUUUAAGUCUUAGACCUUUGCCUGCAUUAAGUGCUAAGGAACCCAGUGCAUUCUUACAUCUAGAUAGGAGAGAGCAUAAAGCAACUUUUGUUACUGACAUUUAUUUAUGAAGUCUUCCCCUUUAAAUAUGGAAGAAUGUGAGAUGUAUAUAUCAGUGCUGUUGUUACUAAAUACUCAUCUGUAUUGGCUUUUUCAGCAAGUAUUCCUCCUGAGUGUUUUCUUCUUUUCUUUUCUUUUUUUUCUUUUUUUGUUUUUUUGAGAUGGAGUCUUGCUCCAUAGCCCAGGCUGGAGCGCAGUGGCGCAGUCUCAGCUCACUGCAAGCUCUGCCUCCCGGGUUCGAGCGAUUCUCCUGCCUCAGCCUCCUGAGUGGCUGGGAUUACAGGCACCCGCCACCACUCCCACCUAAUUUUCAUGUAUUUUUAGUAGAGACGGGGUAUCACCAUAUUGGCCAGGCUGACCUCAAACUCCUGACCUUGUGUUCCACCCGCCUCGGCCUCCCAAAGUACUGGGAUUACAGGCGUGAGCCACUGCACCUGGCCUUCCUGAAUGUUUCUUUACUGAUAUUAUCAUUUAGAACAGGGAUCACAAACUACAGCCUGAGGACCAAAUUCAGACAACCGCCUGUUUUGGCAAGUGAAGUUUUAUUUAUGCUAUUUUGUUUUCAUAUUGUCUGUGGCUGCUUUUGAACUACAACAGCUGAGGUGAGUAGUGCAACAUAAAACAUAUGGUCUGUGAAACCUAAAAUGUUUACUAUCUGGCAGUUUACAGAAAAAGUUUGCCUAAUUCUCAUCUAGAAUAGUAAGAUAAAACUGCAUGAUUACAGAUGAGUUAUAAAUAUCUAAUUAUCUAUUAAUCUGAGCUUGGUUCCUGGAAUCAUUAGCUAUACAUUUAUUUUUUUUUCAACAAAUACUUAUUGAAUGGUUACUAUAUGCCUGGUUCAAGAGAUAUAAUAUGGCAGGGAACCAAACAGAUGGAAUUUUCUGUCUGUAUGGAAUGUAUAUUGUAGUCAGAUGAGACAAACAAAGAACAGAAUUAAAUUAAGAACUAUGAGAAAUGUUAAUACUGUGUCCACUUGUAAAAAAUCAUAGAACUUGGCACUUGUUAGUACUGACUGCCCCACCAUCUUAUUCUAUGAAGUAUGCUAAGCUAUAAUAUAUUCAUGCCUCAGUCCAUCCACUGUACAUUAUACAUUACUGAAUGUGUGCUAAUUUACCAAAAUAUAUGUAUUGGCCACUUUUUCCCAAUUGUGUUAUAUACUAAAAUCCCAGAGUUAUGUUACUUGAAUGUUUGGUACUUAUCUUGAUUUAGUUCUUAAAAGCUAUUUUCAAUUGGAUAAAAUUCUCCCAAAACCUCUCCUAGUAUAAGAUUUUAAAGUAAAUAUUAGCAAACAGAAUCCAACAGUGCAUUAAGAAAAUAAUGUACCAUAAGUGGCAUUUAUUCCAGGAAUGCAAAGUUGGUUCAAUAUUAACAACUGGUGUUUUGUUUUGUUUUGUUUUGUUUUGUUUUGUUUUGUUUUGUUUUGUUUUUUUGGGAGACAGAGUCUUGCUCUCUUGCCCAGGCUGGAGUGCAGUGGCAUGAUCUCAGCUCACUGCAACCUCCGCCUCCCAAGUUCAAGCGAUUCUCCUGCCUCAGCCUCCUUUGUAGCCGGGAUUACAGGAGCCUGCCAUCAUGCCCGGCU